rnacentral:rRNA from 1 species
ACAGUGGCGGACUGGUGAGUAACGCGUAGGUAAUCUGCCUUUAAGUGGGGGAUAGCCCUCGGAAACGGGGAUUAAUACCGCAUGUGUUCCUUCGGGAAUAAAGGUGGCCUCUGAUAUAAGCUGUCGCUUAAAGAUGAGCCUGCGUCCCAUUAGUUAGUUGGUGUGGUAAUGGCGCACCAAGACGAUGAUAGGUAGGCGUCCUUAACGGGUGGUCGCCCACACUGGGAUUGAGAUACUGCCCAGACUCCUACGGGAGGCAGCAGUCGAGAAUAGUCUACAAUGGACGAAAGUCUGAUAGUGCAACGCCGCGUGGGUGAUGAAGCAUUUCGGUGUGUAAAACCCUUUUCUUUGUGAGCAGUGCCGCUAUGAUUAAUAGUUAUAGCGGAGGGAUAUUAGCAGAGGAAUAAGCCACGGCUAACUCCGUGCCAGCAGCCGCGGUAACACGGGGGUGGCGAGCGUUGUCCGGAAUCACUAGGCGUAAAGGGCAAGUAGGCGGAAUAUCUAGUCAGAUGUUAAAGGCAUUGGCUCAACCAAUGUAAGGCAUUUGAUACUGGUAUUCUAGAAUUUGGUAUGGGAAGACGGAAUUCCUGGUGUAGCGGUGGAAUGCGCAGAUAUCAGGAAGAACACCGGAGGCGAAGGCGGUCUUCUGGGCCAAAAUUGACGCUGAAUUGCGAAGGUGUGGGUAUCAAACAGGAUUAGAUACCCUGGUAGUCCACACAGUAAACGAUGUGCACUAGAUGUUGGGGAAUAAAAUUUCUCAGUGUCGCAGCAAACGCGCUAAGUGCAUCGCCUGGGGAGUACGAUCGCAAGAUUAAAACUCAAAGGAAUUGACGGGGGCCCGCACAAGCGGUGGAGCAUGUGGUUUAAUUCGAUGCAACGCGAAGAACCUUACCUGGGCUUGACAUCCUUGGAAUGCUGUAGAGAUACGGCAGUGCCCUUCGGGGAACCAGGAGACAGGUGCUGCAUGGUUGUCGUCAGCUCGUGUCGUGAGAUGUUGGGUUAAGUCCCGCAACGAGCGCAACCCCUAUCUUUAGUUACCAGCGAGUAAUGUCGGGGACUCUAGAGAGACUGCCAGUGUAAUAAACUGGAGGAAGGUGGGGAUGACGUCAAAUCAUCAUGGUCCUUAUGUCCAGGGCUACACACGUGCUACAAUGGCUGGUACAGAGGGCAGCAAGACCGCGAGGUGGAGCAAAUCUCAGAAAGCCAGUCUCAGUUCGGAUUGGAGUCUGCAACUCGACUCCAUGAAGUUGGAAUCGCUAGUAAUCGCGUAUCAGCAUAACGCGGUGAAUACGUUCCCGGGCCUUGUACACACCGCCCGUCAAGUCAGCCGAGUUGAUUGCACCCGAAGGAGGU